CAGUAGCCACGGUAAUACGGAGGGGGCUAGCGUUGUUCGGAAUUACUGGGCGUAAAGCGCACGUAGGCGGCCUAUUAAGUCAGGGGUGAAAGACGGUAGCUUAACUAUCGCAGUGCCUUUGAUACUGAUGGGCUUGAAUGUACUUGAAGUGGGCGGAAUGUGACAAGUAGCGGUGAAAUGCAUAGAUAUGUCACAGAACACCGAUUGCGAAGGCAGCUCACUAAAGUAUGAUUGACGCUGAGGCACGAAAGCGUGGGGAUCAAACAGGAUUAGAGACCCCGGUAGUCCCUGUUUCUUAUAA
rnacentral:rRNA from 1 species